rnacentral:rRNA from 1 species
CCUACGGGAGGCAGCAGUGAGGAAUAUUGGUCAAUGGGCGCGAGCCUGAACCAGCCAAGCCGCGUGAAGGAUGACUGCCCUACGGGUUGUAAACUUCUUUUAUAAAGGAAUAAAGUGAGGCACGUGUGUCCUUUUGUAUGUACUUUAUGAAUCAGGAUCGGCUAACUCCGCGCCAGCAGCCCCGGUAAUACGGAGGAUGCGAGCGUUAUCCGGAUUGAUUGGGUUUAAAGGGAGCGUAGAUGGGUUGUUAAGUCAGUUGUGAAAGUUUGCGGCUCAACCGUAAAAUUGCAAUUGAUACUGGCAGCCUUGAGUACAGUUGAGGUAGGCGAAAUUCGUGGGGUGGCGGUGAAAUGCUUAGAUA